CUAGGAUCUUGAUGUGUUCACCAGACAGGCCUUCAGAGCACCUGGCUGGAGCCACAUUCUACAGAGUCACAAAGUGAGAUUAAGCCUUCUGCCAUGCAGUGGAAAGGAAAUGCACCCUCAGCCCUAGGGCAGUAAAGACACACUCACCAUCAUCCAGAAUGACCAGCAGUGGAGCCAGAAGAUCACACAUGCCCUGGACAUAGCCGAUCUCAAUGUGCUGCCAGAUGUAGCUAGAAGAGACACAAGGGGCCAAUGAUGGCAGCCGUGGCCUGCCUCUCCAACCCACUCCACCUUCUGUUCCUCCUGCUUCGGUCCCCAAUCCCUCACCUGGACCCCUCCCUCAGCCUCCUGCCUGCAUCUCCAUCCCCGAUCUCUCUCUUCAAACAUCCUAUGUGCAGCCACCAGGAUGACCUCCCUAAAGGCCAACUCAGGAGGCCUCUUCAGGCUCAAAACUUGCACAAGCACCCUGCUGUCUGAUGGGAUGUUAUCCAAACUCCUUUACUGGGGGUACAAGGAGUAAUGGCCUCCUCUCAACUCAUCUUCACAGCCUCAAACAUCGCUUCCCACUGUCUUCCUCUCCAGCAACAUUGACGUAUUCACUUUGCACAAAAAAAUCACAAAUUUAUGUUUCUGUAUCUUUGCCUUACAGCUCCCUUUGUCAGGAAUUGCAAUCUGUCCCUUACUAAUAACAGCUUAUAUUUAUCGAGCUCUUACUGUAUACUCAACCCACUAUUUUCUUUUUCUUUUUUUUUUUUUUGAGACGGAGUCUCACUGUUGCUCAGGCUGGAGUGCAGUGGCGUGAUCUCUGCUCACUGCAGGCUCCGCCCCCUGGGUUCACGACAUUCUCCUGCCUCAGCCUCCCGAGUAGCUGGGACUACAGGCGCCCGCCACCUCGCCCAGCUAAUUUUUUGUAUUUUUAGUAGAGAUGGGAUUUCACCAUGUUAGCCAGGAUGGUCUCGAUCUCCUGACCUCAUGACCCGCCCGUCUCGGCCUCCCAAAGUGCUGGGAUUACAGGCGUGAGACACUGCGCCCGGCCUCUCAACCCACUAUUUUCAAAAUAGUCAUGUGAAACAUGGACUAUCCCAUUUCACAGGCAUGAGCCAUUGCACCCAGCCUGAAUGUACACAUUUUUUAAAUGUACAUUUAAAAAAUGUCCAUGGAUUAUCCCAUUUCACAGAUGAGGGGACUGAAGCAUAGACAGGUAAAUGACAUGUCCCAAAUCAUACACUUAAUAAUAAGUGGCAGAGGCAGUACUUGAACCUAGGAGGCCUUACUCAAGGAUAUAUGAUCUUAGCCUCUAUGCUAAAUGGUUUCUUUAGUUUUCUUUUUCUUUUUCCUUUUUUUUUUUUUUUUCUUUUUGUUGAGACAGAGUUUUGUUCUUGUUGCCCAUGCUGGAGUGCAAUGGUGCAAUCUUGGCUCACUGCAACCUCCACUUCCCCGGUUCAAGCAAUUCCCCUGUCUCAGCCUCCUGAGUAGCUGGGAUUACAGGUGUGUGCCACCACACCUGGCUAAUUUUUGUAUUUUUAGUAGAGACAGGGUUUCGCCAUGUUGGCCAGGCUGGUCUCGAACUCCUGACCUCAGGUGAUCUGGCCGCCUCGACCUCCCAUGAGCCGCCGUGCCCAGCCUAUGGUUUCUUUAGUUUUCUUAACGUUGUCAAAAUCCAUCUCAAAGGUCACCACCACUGUGAAGUCUUCCAUGAUUUCUCCCUAUGCCUUAACCAGGGAGGAGUCAGUUUAUUUUUACUUCUUCCCAGCAUUUUUUUCAUUUUAAUGUAACACUUAUGAGACUAUAUCAUAGUUUAAAACAUUUAAAAAAUAUGUACAUUCAGGCUGGGUGCGAUGGCUCAUGACUGUAAUCCUAGCACUUGGGAGGUCAAGGCAGGUGGAUUGCCUGAGCUCAGGAGUUCAAGACCAGCCUGGGCAACAUGGUGAAACCCCAUCUCUACUACAAUACAAAAAAUUAGCCGGGCCUGGCAGCGUGCACCUAUAGUCCCAGCUACUCGGGAGGCUGAGGUAGGAGAAUUGCUUGAACCCAGGAGGCGGAGAUUGCAGUGAGCCGAGAUCGCACCACUGUACUCCAGCCUGGGCAACAGAGCGAGACUCCAUCUCCAUUAAAAAAAAAAAAAAGUACAUUCAUAUUAUGUUAUACAAUAUACAAUCAAUUAGAUAUUACUAAAUUGUUAGUAGUCAUUAAUUCUGGGUGAGUGGCACUGCCGGGCAGAGAUGAAGGGAGAAGUUUCUCUUUCUAUCUUAUGAACUUCUAAUUUCUUUGAUUUAGAUUUUUGUUUUGUUUUGAGACAGGGUCUCAUUCUGUUGCCCGGGCUGGAGUGCAGUUGUGUGAUCACAGUUCAUUGUUGCCUCAACCUCCCAGGUUCAAGCCAUCCUGCUGCCUCAGCCUCCCAAAGUAGCUACGACUAUAGGCGUAUACAAUCAUGCCUGGCUAAUUUAUUAAAACUUUUGUAGAGAUGGGGUCUUGUUAUGUUGCCCAGACUGGGUCUUAAACUCUUGGCCUCAAGCAAUCCUCCUGCCUUGGCCUCCCAAAGUGCUGGGAUUAGAGUUGUCAGUGAUUUAGAUUUUUAACAAGCAUGGGUUACUUUCAUAUUUUAAGAAAUAUCAAUAAUUAUUUUUAUUAUUUUUAUUACUUUUUAAGAGAUGGGGUCUUACUCUGUCACCCAGGCUGGAGUACAAUGGUGUAAUCAUAGCUCACUACAACCCUCUAACCUCUAGGCUCAAGCUAUCCUCCUGCCUCCACCUCCCAAGUAUGCAGGACUACAAGUGCAUGCCACUAUGUCCAGCUAAAUGUUGAGUUAAAAAAAAUUAUUUUGUAGUGAUAGGGUCUCACUAUGUUGCCAGGCCAGUCUCUACUUUUUUGAAGUCUGUGAAGAACUCAAGUGGCCUCAAGUGAUCCUCCCACGUCAGCUUCCCAAAGUGCUGGGAUUACAGGAAUAAUAUCUUUUUAGUGAACAGUAAUAACCAGUCGUAGAUCUUGGCUUAAAGAAAAAUAGAAAAAGGACAGAUUCUACAGCCAGAGACAUGGCUAUGAGUUCCCGCUCAGCCACUGCCCGAUGCCCACUCAGCAAUGAGGCUCUUCCUGGAGCCUCCACAUCGUCACCUAUAAAAGGGGUUAAUACCUCGUCGGGUUGAGGAAUAAGUGAGCGAUGAUAGUACAGGCCUCAGGACAGUGGCUGGUAUACAGUAAGUGCUUAAUAAAUGUUCUAUAUUAUUGUUGUUAAAUUUUCACUGUGGGCUAAGUAAGAUUCCAGGUGAGUAUGAUGCCAGCUUCAGAAGCUGAAAUAACUUCUAGGCGGGCCCCCUACAUCCCCCAUCCCACCCACCCACCAUCCCCAUCCCCUAGAUCCCCUCGCUGUCCCCAGCCACCUGCACAUGAUGUUACGCAGCUUCUCCAAGUUGGCGGGCGUGAAGUACCAGUAGUUGCGGUCGCACCUCUGCACAUCCUUCUCGAUGCGGUGCAGGUUCACCGUGUACAGAUCCAGCAGCUCUGGCUAUAGGCCAUCGGGGCAGGGGGUAGGGGGAAGAAAUGAAAAAUCACAUCUAAGUCCCCACUGGAAAGCAGCAAUCCUAUCUCCUCUUCCUAACCCUCUCCUGUUGUCACUGAAAAUACAUCUCCCACCUGGACCAGCCAGGUGUUUGAUUUUGUUUGUUUGUUUUCUGGGAGGGUGUGUUUAAUUUGCAGGAUGAAAAUUCUCCCUCAGAGAGUUACAACUAUAGCUGGAAGUGAACCUCUCUCUGCUGAAAACUGGACAAGGAGAAUGAAGAACUGCACAGAGGGCAAAUUCUGUGAAUCCUCCAUGACGGAAAAAAUGCAACGAACCAGAGGUCUGACUCCGGGGUCAUUCUGGAUAACAGGCUUGUAGUACAUCCCACCCUCCUGCAGCUGGAAAGAAGGAAAUGGAACGGAGGGUCCUGGUGACUUACAGAGUAGGUGACGCCGCUGGAAGACACAGGGGACACCUCGUUGGCAGAAGUAGUCACAGCCAGAGAAGCCAGG
rnacentral:lncRNA from 1 species